GGGCUGCUUAGGGCUUGCUGAAGAGCGGUUUAUGUUGGAGGGUAGGAAUUGAGGAGAAAAAAUCAAUUAUGGCUGAUGCUUGGCUUCUAGGGACUGUAAACAAUAAAGUGUCAACAAACAUUUAUAGCGGUGAGGUCAGUUUGGUUUCGAACUUAAUUAAUACACAGCUAUGAGAAUGGAAAAAUAAGUUUAUUAAUUCUUAGAAUUUUGAAAAUCCCCUUAGCUGUAGAAGCUCAUGAUGAUUUGAUGGUUUGAUAAAGGGAACCUUCAGGGGAAUUUUCUAUGCGGAGUGUUUAUAAAUUAUUACAUGAAAGUAAUAUUGAACCUAAUUAUUUAAAGACCAAGAUGAAAAUUUUUUACAAAAAAACUAUGGAUCAGUAAUAUUCCAGCCAAAAUUAAGAUUUACAUUUGGAAAAUUUCCUGGAAUUUCAUUCCUAAUCUAGCUAUUUUAUCCACAAAAAGAAUGGCGAUGGAGACUGCGUACCUAAGAUGUGUAGGGGCUACUGAAAAUGUUGAUCACCUUUUGCGAGGCUGUCCUAUUACACGAGAAGUCUAGGUAAGUUUAAAUCUUGAUUGGGUAUUAACAGGAAUAAAUAUGAAUUGCUAGGAAUGGCUUAGCUGGGUGUUUAAAAGCUAUACUGGGUCGCAAUGUUGUUUAUUCUGCUGCUCCUUGUGGGAGAUCUGGACUAACAGAAAUAAGUGGUUAUUUGAGGGGAAGAGAAAUAGGGGUUGUGAUAUUACUGCAUGGGUCUUAAGGUAUGCUAAGAAAAUAGACGAGUGUGAGACUAGUAAAUUGACCAAGGAAACCGUGACUAUGGAAUGGUGCCCUCGAAUAGGUCCGAUAUUAAAUUGAAUUUUGACACGGCAUUUGACUAGGCACAGGCUAAAUCGGCUUCAGGGUUAGUUGCAAGAAAUGCUUCUAGAGAGAUUCUCGCCUCUAAAACUGUGGUACACAGGGCUAUUGCUUCUCCUUUCGCAGUAGAGGCACAUGCGUGUCUCCAAAUAGUUUUAUUGGGGAAAUAAAAGGGAUUUACAUUAGAUCGAAGGGGAUUCAGCUUCAGUUAUAAAGAGAAGUAAGUCAGAUCUGGUAGAUAGAUCGAUGAUAAGGGCUUUAAUAAGGAACUUACAAUGUUAAAAACUAUUCUUCCAUCAGAUAUUAUUUAAACACAUUCCUAGAUCAGCAAAUAUAAUGGCUCAUGAACUAGCCAGAGAAGCGAUGAGAAAUGGGUCACGGACUUACCUUCUCGGAGGACUGCUUGAGCAAAAUGCAACAGAAGAUGGAUCGUGCAGAAGGAGAGAACCAGAUUGAAGAUUGACUGAUGAAGGCGUUUGGGUUUUGGGAAGAGAUAAAUGAAGUAAAUGAUGGUCUACUGGUUUUUGGAAACUACUUCUUGGGGACUGGAACCGUCAAUAAUAAUAAUGAUGACAUUUAUUGGGUGCCAGCUGUGAAUCAGACUGUGGUGUUUUCUUUAUUUUGUUUUGUUUUACUUCUGUUUUUGUUUUUUUUGGUAGGCUUAGUUCAAAGCCCGA
rnacentral:lncRNA from 1 species